UACGGGGGGGGCAAGCGUUGUUCGGAAUUACUGGGCGUAAAGGGCUCGUAGGCGGCCAACUAAGUCAGACGUGAAAUCCCUCGGCUUAACCGGGGAACUGCGUCUGAUACUGGAUGGCUUGAGGUUGGGAGAGGGAUGCGGAAUUCCAGGUGUAGCGGUGAAAUGCGUAGAUAUCUGGAGGAACACCGGUGGCGAAGGCGGCAGCCUGGACCGAUACUGACGCUGAGGAGCGAAAGCGAGGGGAGCAAACGGG
rnacentral:rRNA from 1 species